UUAUUUAUAUAUAUAUGUAUGAGAUUUGUUAAGGUUUGAGUCCACUGCAUAAAUAUUAUGAUUCACUUGUUAUUCUGAAUUUGUAUUUUACCCCCAUUUUCCUUAAUUGGCACUGGGAUAUCACACCCUCAGAUAAGGACGAUAGUGAGGAACCGAUCAUUUAUCUACCCCUUGAAGCCUUUAUGGAUCCCAUUGAUCCGU
rnacentral:lncRNA from 1 species